GAUGAACGCUGGCGGCGUGCCUAAUACAUGCAAGUCGAGCGAACAGACGAGGAGCUUGCUCCUCUGACGUUAGCGGCGGACGGGUGAGUAACACGUGGAUAACCUACCUAUAAGACCGGGAUAACUUCGGGAAACCGGAGCUAAUACCGGAUAAUAUAUUGAACCGCAUGGUUCAAUAGUGAAAGACGGUUUUGCUGUCACUUAUAGAUGGAUCCGCGCCGCAUAGCUAGUUGGUAAGGUAACGGCUUACCAAGGCGACGAUGCGUAGCCGACCUGAGAGGGUGAUCGGCCACACUGGAACUGAGACACGGUCCAGACUCCUACGGGAGGCAGCAGUAGGGAAUCUUCCGCAAUGGGCGAAAGCCUGACGGAGCAACGCCGCGUGAGUGAUGAAGGUCUUCGGAUCGUAAAACUCUGUUAUUAGGGAAGAACAAAUGUGUAAGUAACUAUGCACGUCUUGACGGUACCUAAUCAGAAAGCCACGGCUAACUACGUG
rnacentral:rRNA from 1 species